CUCUUAUCAAGAGAGGUGGAGGGAUGUGCCCGAUGAAACCCGGCAACCGUCAAGUGACAUGGUGCCAAUUCACACAGAUGAGAG
rnacentral:ncRNA from 1 species